AUGUGCAGUGUGCAAAUGGAACGUGUCAUUCGCCUUUCAGAAGGACUGAGGCGGAGGUCCUGGAGGCGGAGGUCCUGGAGGCGGAGGUCCUGGAGGCGGAGGUCCUGGAGGCGGCGGUGGCCUGGAGGUCCUGGAAGCGUCCAACCUGGAAGGGGCGGCAUGGUGGGCCAGGUGGCGGCUCCUCAUCCAAAGGUCCUGGAGGCGGCCAACCUGGAAGGCCUGGAGACGGCGGCGGGCCUGGAGGUGGACGCCAACUUGGAGGUCCUGGAGUCGGUGGGCCUGGAGGCGGUGGUUGGGACCAACCUGGAGGGCCUGGAGGCGGUGGUUGGGACCAACCUGGAGGUCCUGGCGGCGGCGGCGGCUCCUCAUCCGGUUAAGCUAAACUCUUCUCCAGUGCAUCAUGAACGGGGAGGAAUGUCCGGGGUGCAAAUAGAACGCGUGUCUCAUUUCAGAAGAAAUGAGGCGACGUUGCGGUGGCCCAGGCGGUCGGCCCGGUGGAGGUCCUGGAGGACGGCUGGGGGAUCCGGCAGUGGAGGUCCGGAGGUGGCUCGUGAUUAGACCAACCAGCUCCUCAUCCAUGGAAGGUAAGCUCUUCAAUCUGAUCAAUUUGAUCAAAGAGCGCAGCCAUGAACUGGUGGUAUCGCCAUUUGGGGACUAAACUCUAAUGUUUAACUCAAGUAACUGCAGUGU
rnacentral:lncRNA from 1 species